rnacentral:rRNA from 1 species
GAUGAACGCUGGUGGCGUGCUUAACACAUGCAAGUCGAACGAUGAAGCCCAGCCUGCUGGGCGGAUUAGUGGCGAACGGGUGAGUAACACGUGAGUAACCUGCCCUUGACUCUGGGAUAAGCCCGGGAAACUGGGUCUAAUACCGGAUAGGAGCGCCUGUCGCAUGACGGGUGCUGGAAAGAUUUUUCGGUCAUGGAUGGACUCGCGGCCUAUCAGCUUGUUGGUGAGGUAACGGCUCACCAAGGCGACGACGGGUAGCCGGCCUGAGAGGGUGACCGGCCACACUGGGACUGAGACACGGCCCAGACUCCUACGGGAGGCAGCAGUGGGGAAUAUUGCACAAUGGGCGGAAGCCUGAUGCAGCGACGCCGCGUGAGGGAUGACGGCCUUCGGGUUGUAAACCUCUUUCAGUAGGGAAGAAGCGAAAGUGACGUACCUGCAGAAGAGCA